AGAAAUUGUCUCCAUCUUCUGGUAGCUUGAGCAGCAAAGUCACAUUGCAGAGGAGAGUGAGAGGAGAAGGUGUUAUGUUCUUUCUGUUGCUUCCUACCACUGUGGAGUCCCCAGUUUUCCCUAUGGUUUCCUGCUGAUGAGCAGCAGUUACAUAGUCAUAAAAUCUAGGACUGUAGGCAACUCAUCACCUCUUUUCCAAUAAAUAAAGAACUACAUCAUGAAGACAGAAGUCAAAGAACUUCAAGAUGACACUUCCCAGCAAUCUCUGUUUGUGAAGUUGGUCAACUUGCUUACCUGAACAUGGAGGAUUCUGAUUCUUUGCAAUUGCUCAGCUUAUAUCUUAACCUUUUAAUGCCAACUCUCCUCUUUUCCUUUUUUAAUUUUAUUUAAGUUACACACAUUUCAUAUAUUUCAUAUAUACAGAUUUAGGAACAUAGUGGUACUCCCCAC